UGGGGAAUCUUGGACAAUGGGCGCAAGCCUGAUCCAGCCAUGCCGCGUGGAUGAUGAAGGCCUUAGGGUUGUAAAAUCCUUUCGUUGGGGACGAUAAUGACGGUACCCAAAGAAGAAGCUCCGGCUAACUUCGUGCCAGCAGCCGCGGUAAUACGAAGGGGGCUAGCGUUGUUCGGAUUUACUGGGCGUAAAGCGCACGUAGGCGGAUUGUUAAGUCAGAGGUGAAAUCCCGGAGCUCAACUUCGGAACUGCCUUUGAUACUGGCAAUCUAGAGUCCGGAAGAGGUUAGUGGAAUUCCCAGUGUAGAGGUGAAAUUCGUAGAUAUUGGGAAGAACACCAGUGGCGAAGGCGGCUAACUGGUCCGGUACUGACGCUGAGGUGCGAAAGCGUGGGGAGCAAACAGGAUUAGAUACCCCAGUAGUCCCUGAGCGGGCUGGCAAGGCGCAU
rnacentral:rRNA from 1 species